UGCUGUGAUGGUGUAAUUUGCGUCUUACUCUGCACACAGCGACAGUUGCCUGCUGUCACAUGCUUGUGUUGAAGGUUGACGAACAUUGAUUCUGAGCA
ensembl:snoRNA SNORD16 Small nucleolar RNA SNORD16